rnacentral:tRNA from 1 species
AGGGGCUUAGGAUAUAAAGAGACCAAGGGUUUUCAAAACCCUAAGCGGGAGUUAAAAUCUCCCAGCCCCUG